rnacentral:rRNA from 1 species
GACGAACGCUGGCGGCGUGCCUAAUACAUGCAAGUUGAGCGCUGAAGGUUGGUACUUGUACCAACUGGAUGAGCAGCGAACGGGUGAGUAACGCGUGGGGAAUCUGCCUUUGAGCGGGGGACAACAUUUGGAAACGAAUGCUAAUACCGCAUAAAAACUUUAAACACAAGUUUUAAGUUUGAAAGAUGCAAUUGCAUCACUCAAAGAUGAUCCCGCGUUGUAUUAGCUAGUUGGUGAGGUAAAGGCUCACCAAGGCGAUGAUACAUAGCCGACCUGAGAGGGUGAUCGGCCACAUUGGGACUGAGACACGGCCCAAACUCCUACGGGAGGCAGCAGUAGGGAAUCUUCGGCAAUGGAAGAAAGUCUGACCGAGCAACGCCGCGUGAGUGCAGAAGGUUUUCGGAUCGUAAAACUCUGUUGGUAGAGAAGAACGUUGGUGAGAGUGGAAAGCUCAUCAAGUGACGGUAACUACCCAGAAAGGGACGGCUAACUACGUG